rnacentral:rRNA from 1 species
UACGUAGGGGGCAAGCGUUGUCCGGAAUUACUGGGCGUAAAGCGCGUGUAGGCGGGACGGUUAGUCGGACGUGAAAGGCUGGGGCUCAACCCCAGAUCGCCGUUCGAAACUGCCGUUCUUGAGGGUCGAAGAGGAGAGUGGAAUUCCUGGUGUAGCGGUGAAAUGCGUAGAUAUCUGGAGGAACACCGGUGGCGAAGGCGGCAUCCUGGACCGGUAUUGACGCUGAUGAGCGAAAGCCAGGGGAGCAAACGGG